UGCGCCAAGGAAAACCGAACGAAGCGUCCGCCCCCGGCAUCCCGUUCGCGGAGCGUGCCGCGGGAUCGGGCGUCUAUCAAAUGUCAAAACGACUCUCGGCAACGGAUAUCUCGGCUCUCGCAUCGAUGAAGAACGUAGCGAAAUGCGAUACUUGGUGUGAAUUGCAGAAUCCCGUGAACCAUCGAGUCUUUGAACGCAAGUUGCGCCCGAAGCCAUUAGGCCGAGGGCACGUCUGCCUGGGCGUCACGC
rnacentral:rRNA from 12 species